GGAGGGGAAGGGAGCCGGGGACCGGGGCUGGGGAGGGGAAGGGGGGAGCGCGCGGGACAGGGCGAGUCUCCGAGUCACCACAGCAGUUGCAGCACCGGCCCAACGCUUCCCUCCGCCACCUCCAUAGAGAGCCGACCCGCUGCCGCGUCUAAACCGCACUGAGCCAGCCCCACUAACUUUAUUACCGUUCACGCAACCUACCCCACCUCCCCUUAGCAGCCGCCAAUGGCCGCGGAGGGCUCCGCCCGUCUUGCCAAUCACAACCGAGAAAGGGGGUGGCCUUAACGUCGAUGUGGGCGGAGGAGGGAGGAGGUUUGGUUGAACUGUGCCACCGCCGCAGUGCAGCAUCCGUAUUCGCGAAAGGCGCUACGCCGCCUCGCUGGCGGUAGGGCCGGGCGAAGAAGGGAGAUUUGCGCAAGUGGCGUAGCCGGGUAAUGGCGGCGGCUUGGCUGGCUGUUUGUUCCGCUGUUUGCUGCUCUGCUUCAACCGUUACAGAGCUCUAGUUCUAAAGGCCCAGGGUGUGAGUUCCAGUUGAUUCUGUCACGCUCAUAGGAAAGUAUUUUGAUAUAUAUUUAUUCUCAUAAGGUUUUUUGGUUUGCAGUGUUUAAAAUGUAAUACAUUUAUUUAAGGUUUCUCCUCAGUCAGACCACAUUUCAGAUUGGAAGUAAAAAAUUGGCUGAAUAUAGACUGUAGUCCUGAGCUUGCAAUCAGAUCCGAAGGAGGAGAGUGGCCGUUUGAGCUCCAGCAGUCUGUUUGUAUGGAUCCAGUUUCAGGUUUGCUUUCUGGGUUUGGAAACUAUUUCUAUCUCUGCAUGUGCUUUUAGCUAUUAAGUGGCCUGUCUGUGUCAGGGUGUUCUGCAGGCUACUCAUGGACAACCAGUGCUGUUGAGAGAUGUUUUUCUGUAUUUAUUAUGAUAAGCAUGCAGCAUCUCGUGGGGUUUUCUUGCUCCUUCUCAGUGAAACAAAACAAAGAUGGCCAGGCUUUUAGCUGUAGGUGGAAGAAGUUUGAGUCACGGGAGACUUUCAGAGGCUUACCAGUUUUAUCCUUUAACAAUCAAGUCAUAGUCCCAGGUUGUCACUGAGGUAGCAGCUACCAGGACUUGCCAAAGAUUCAAACUUACUUGCUCUAGACAAAGCAGGACAGAAAAACAAGAGCUAAGUAAACCUGACAACAAAUGCCACAAGCAUCCACAUCUGCUUUGUUCACACAUAAACCUUCCACUUUCGGUUUGCAUGACUCAUAAUUCAGAUGACUGGGAGAAAGUGAUACAUGUAAUAACUCUUGAACCACAUAGACAGCAAGUCCAAACAAAUUAUAUUGUAGAGUUUCCAAUUUCCAACCUCAUUCUUAAUGCUUUCAGUGCCAUGUGCCACAGUGUACCAAGGGUUAUGUAAGGCCUAAAGGGUGCUGUCAUGCCAGAGCUCAUGUGUCACAUCUUACCUGGGAUGAAGUUUGUUCAAGAGAGGUUUCCUCAUUAUUCCUUAGCAUUAAGUAUAGUUUACUUACCAGAUUCUGUUAUGGAAAAUCGUGAAUAAAUUACCUGAAAGUAGUUGCAUAAGGGUGAACGUAACUGUCACAGGUACUUGUACCAGAACUGUUGUAUUUUCCUGCAUUUAACAAUAGACGUUACUGCAAGAGCUUGGACCUUGCAUGUGAAUCUGCAAGAACAGAACUGUGCAGAACUCCAUUGAAAUCAAUGGAAUCCAGUUGAAAGAAGGGGUCAAUGGGCACGGAGGCAACAGCAAAGUCAACAAGAUGUAGAUCCAGUUAAUAUUAUUGAAAUAAAAUAUUCUCAGAGUAAAAAGUAAUAAAAAUACUUGAAGAUCUUAAAAGCAGAAGUGAAAGCAAGGAUGGGAUUUGCUUUGCAUUGGAUGGCAGAAUAUUCACAUGAGGUGUUUCCAGGACAAGCAUUCCAACACUGUUUAGGUCAGAGACAUAAUGAUAAUAAAUAAUAAAAAUUAAUAAUAAUCAGAGAAUUUAUCUUUUUUCGUGUGUGGGGAGAUGUGAGGAGCAGAAGGGAGUGGAAAACCUGCAAAACACGGUAGCAGAGUGAGUGUGCUGUUCCUGGACUGCAGUGUAAAGCACUAGCUUUACAAUAAAAAUUGCUGAUGCUGAGCUCCUGAAGGAAAAUCACUACUAAUGCAACUAAGUCUGCCUGGAAAAAAAACCCAACCCAAAUGGAGAGCAUUGUUGGCCUCCUUUUGAUGUCAGUUGAUGAUCUAGCUUCAUAUGAUGCCAUCUUCUCGGGUGUUUUGUGCUACUGUAACAAGGACAAAGGAGCCUCAGUACAAGACCAACUCGAGAUGUAGUUAAUUGGUCUGUGUUGCAGUCUGCAACUGGAGAAGGAAGAUCAAGAAAUAAAGCUUCCAAACACUAUUGAGGAGACUGGACAAAGUUAAACACGGCAAGUCAAAAGCCAUAUCCAUUAGCCAAGAUGGAAUUAGACUUCCUGUUAAAAGAAGAACAAUGAAAAAUACUGACAGAGUGAACACACUGAGGCUUUCUUUAAUUUAGAUAUUGUAGUCUCUUUGUAUCACAUAUUUCCUGAAUAGCUUUUACUGGACAGAAUUGAUUUUUUCUGGCCUAGCCUUUUCCUUUCUUCAAUAGCCUUAUGUUCUUUUUUUUUGUAUGAUACAUUGGAUACGUUAAAUAAUUCAGUUCCGUUCUCUAAUCAGUAUUUGUUAGCUUCCAGGAGUCAGCUCUUAUUGCUAGGCAACUAAACAAGAAAUCUCCAUCUUUGUAUUAAGCAGUUUGCUGUAUCUAUGCUUGACCCUAUGCUUAUCUGUAUAUAUGUCUGUAAAAUUACUUAAUUGCUGCUGUAAACAUUAAAUUCAAACAUGCUGCAUAUAUUACACAUAUUGAAUUUAUCUUGAAACUGAGUUGUUACUAGUCAAAACAGCUUGGAAAAGGACACAGAUUUGUUCCUCUCCCUUUUUAGAUGUAUUUCCCUCACAUACAACUAUCUUUAAGGGCGGCUGUUGUGCUGAAAAUUACUUUUGUCUUUUGGACUAUGAAAAGAAGAGCUAUUUCUAUAUUAACCACUCCAAUCUAUGCAUUUUUACAUCAGGAUACCUCCGUAUUAAUGUUUCUGUCUGAUUUGAAUUACUGUAAUUCUCUGUGUGCAAGUUUUCCAACUUACGGGACAGAUGAGUUUGCUUAAAAAACCAAUAGCAGGGCUUCAGCAGAUUGCACAGAGAGCAGUCUUUUAACAAAGCUUAUACAUUUAAUAUUUUAAUGAGUUUGUAUCAGCCAUUGUGGUGUUUGAUUGCAUUUCCAUUGCCAUCCAGCUUAUUUUGUUUACCUCUUAAUAAUAAAGUGACCUCAAUAACAUCAUAUUUAUUUAUUCUU